rfam:Halobacillus halophilus DSM 2266 complete genome
CCGAUGCUACAACCGCACAGAACAGGUUUAAUAAAACCGUUUCCGGUACCUGAAUGGCGAGUCUGAGUAAAUCG